rnacentral:misc_RNA from 1 species
GAACGCACAUUGCGCCCCUUGGUAUUCCGAGGGGCAUGCCUGUUCGAGCGUCAUUACAACCCUCAAGCACUGCUUGGUGUUGGGCCUCGCCGCUAACCCGGCGGGCUCUAAAAACAGUGGCGGUGCCGUCGGGCUCUGAGCGUAGUAAUUCUUCUCGCUAUAGAGUCCCGGUGGAUGCUGGCCAACAACCCCCAAUUUUCUAUGGUUGACCUCGGAUCAGGUAGGGAUACCCGCUGAACUUAAG